UAGAUAAGUAAUCCACUAAUAAGAAUUUGGAAGAUUCCGCUCAGUGGUGGGCAAUCCGGUUUGAACCCGGAGGUGCUGGUAACGGU
rnacentral:tRNA from 1 species